UACGUAGGGUGCGAGCGUUAAUCGGAAUUACUGGGCGUAAAGCGUGCGCAGGCGGUUUGUUAAGACAGAUGUGAAAUCCCCGGGCUUAACCUGGGAACUGCAUUUGUGACUGGCAAGCUAGAGUAUGGCAGAGGGGGGGUAGAAUUCCACGUGUAGCAGUGAAAUGCGUAGAGAUGUGGAGGAAUACCGAUGGCGAAGGCAGCCCCCUGGGCCAAUACUGACGCUCAUGCACGAAAGCGUGGGGAGCAACAGG
rnacentral:rRNA from 1 species